rnacentral:rRNA from 1 species
UAGAUCUCAAAUCAGUCAGGACUACCCGCUGAACUUAAGC